CAGCAUCUGCUGUGUGCCACAUCCAGGGCCUGGCAUUGGAGACACAGAGUGAACCCGAGGCCCCCCUGCCCUCAAGGAAGUCACAAUGGAGUGGAGGAGACAGUGCAUUUACCUAUUAGUGUGACAAGUGGUGUGAUUUUACGAUAAAGAUGAUGGAAGAACUCGGUGGUGAGGCAACCCAGAGAUUCACUGCAGCAGGAAGGCACUACUCUCCCAAUGGCUAGAGAGACCCAGAGAAAACGUCAUGUUACCAGAGCCCAGAACUGAGUCUUCUGGCAGAAACUAGAAUCAUGAUGGUCACUGCUUACCAGGAUUUUGAGAUCAUGGGACAAAUGUCAUCACUGCUUGAGAUGACCCCUGUGCCUUUUUGGGUGAGAAAAAAGGGGGACAAAAUAUUUUGAAUUCUUUCUUCCUCUUGGCCUCCAAUCUCCCAUUGACCAAAUGAGCUGAAAGGCAGUCGAAAAAAAUAGCCUUGGAAAUACAGUUGUUAGGGUCAUUGUAAUAUUGCAAAAUAAAGCAGAAGAAGGGCAGAGAAUGAAUCUGAGCCUUAACCAGCAUAUUAACUGCCUACCUUUCUUUCUUAGUUUUUCUCUUCCACGAAUUUUCUACCAUUUCUACCUUCUCCUUCUCUUAAAUACCAAAGUGACAUAAUUGCUAAGAGCUAUAGUUAGCUAGGCAGCAAGAUGAUAGGCAGUAGAAGGUUGGAGAAGGAACAAAAUUGCGUGGGUGGGCAUGAAGAAUGGAGUCAUUCCUGCUUUAGGCCUCUGUGAUUCGUAACAUCUUCAGACCAUUUUUGCCUUGUAGAGAUUUUAAUCUACUGAAAAUAGGUGUGACUAAAAAUGCAUAGCUGCAUCUCCAUAAGGUACACAGAAAAACCAGUGUUGGUAUUUUAUGGCUAUUCAAUGCAUGAGAGAAUCAGUAUAUUUCUAAACCUUGUAACAAACUGUUGUAUAAAAAGAAACCUGUAGAUUCCACUUUGUUUUUCCUGACUUGGGAGAGACUCUGGUCUAUAUGUUUAGAUUCAUGCUUUGUUCUAGCCCUUCGUUAUGUCUUAUUAACUUUACUAAUGGAAGGCAUCUCUUUGUUUGAAUUGCCACAAUUUAAUUAUAUUAGUGAACUCAAAUUAAAACGGUAAAUUUCCAUAUGCAGUGUUAGAAAAUAAUAUCAUGGUUCAUCAAUGUCUGGAAUUCAACUGAAUAGAAUAAAUAGAUUUUGCUCUAGGAUUAGCCUGAUAAUAUGUUUAUAUGUAAAACAAAAUUGAUUUUAAUGAUUGCAGUACAAAAACUUCACUUCUAAGUUGAGUUAAAUUAACAAACUCCUGAUCUAUCUCUGCUAUGAAAUACUAAAUGAUUAGAUAUUUUAGCCCAGCCAUGCAAGUUGGAACACAUUCUCUGUUCCAAGCCUAUAAAAAAAUUAGUACUGUAAGAAAUCAGACAACAGACCUAGGCCAGGGGCGGUGGCUCAUGCUUGUAAUCUCAGCACUUUGGGAGGCAGGAGGAUCACUUGAGACCAGGAGUUCAAGACCAGCUUGGGCAACACAGUGAGAUCCCAUCUCUACAUAAAAUUUAAGAAUUAGCUGGACAUGGUGGUCCAUGCCUAUAGUCCCAGCUACUUGAGAGUCUGAGGUGGGAGGAUUGUUUGUGCUCAGGAGGUUAAGGCUGCAGUGAGCCAUGAUCACACCACUGCACUACAACCUGAGCGAUAGGGCAAGACCCUGUUUCUAUAAACAAACAGACAAUAAAUAAGCAACAGGCCUCAGUGAAAUAACUAAAAUUGUCUUUCUUUUAUACCCCUUUGAAAUCAGUGGCAGCAGGAUGACCUUUAAACUUAUGAUCAUAUAGACAUGUCAAAAGAGUUUCAAUGAGACAUAAAUUUAUUAUGUGAUUUAUGUGAUCCUACUAAAUAGAAAAAAUAUGAUAAGUACAGAACUAUAUGAAUUUUGAAGAACUUUGGAGCUACAUAGAAGAUCUUUAAAUAUUUCAAGAGAUAAAGAAAUGCAAAAUCCAAACGUGAUAGGGUAUUCUGGAGGGGAGUGCAGACAAAGAAUUAGAUAAUAACAUAACUACUGAUAUACUAAUAAAUGUUUAGCAGUCAGCUUUUUCAGAGGUGGCCAGAACCUUGAUUUGUUUCAUUUGCCAAUUUCUGUGGUAUAAUUUCUUUUACCAUGAUGGACUUCUCACUACCAGAGUGAUGUCGCUGAAUGUGGAGUUGGAAAGAGAUGCACAGCAGUACAUCAUUAUAAAGUAUUUCCAGCAUAUGGAUGUAACAGACAUAAAUAACCUCAAGAAAUAGAUAAUAAUAAAAUGUAAGGAAACAAUUAGUGAUGAGUUUAGAGUAUUUAUUGCCUUUGUUUUUAACAUAAUUUAUUUAAUUGUAAGUUUCUAUAAUUACAUAAUGGUUGUGUUAACAACUGGCUUGCACAAUUCCUGAAAUUUUAACAAUCACUCCUCACGAAACUUUUAAAACCAGCUCCAACAUAGCAAUAAUAAUAAUUUAAGCCUGGGGAUGUGAACUAUAUGUGCUCUGAGAAGAAGGACAUCACUCCUAUAUUCUGAAUAAUUAAUAGGGCUUGGUAUAUUCUUUUAACAUCUCAGACGGCACUGCAGUAAAUAUCCCGGUCUACAGCUGUGGUUGUGUAUAUAAAAUCUCAGCCAGCCUAGGUUACAAACAAAAAGUUUAAUUUAGAUAGCAUAAUAGCUUCUUUAGCGAAG
rnacentral:lncRNA from 1 species